rnacentral:rRNA from 1 species
CACGUAGGCGGCUUUCUAAGUCGGGGGUGAAAUCCUGGAGCUCAACUCCAGAACUGCCUUCGAUACUGGAAAGCUCGAGUCCGGGAGAGGUGAGUGGAACUGCGAGUGUAGAGGUGAAAUUCGUAGAUAUUCGCAAGAACACCAGUGGCGAAGGCGGCUCACUGGCCCGGUACUGACGCUGAGGUGCGAAAGCGUGGGGAGCAAACA